AAAAAAAAAAAAAGUGCGCGGCCAAAAAAAAAAAAAAAAAAAGCUUAGACGGAACAGAGAGAGGCGUCUGGGCUUAGGAGUAAAAGAAACACCUUCCUUCCCUCACAUCCGUUUGUGGUUUGUUUAAGAAGAGGAGAAAAAAAGAGAGAGAGAGAGAGAGAGAAAAAGAAAAAAAAAAAGAGAGUGGAAAAGCGCUCAACUCUCCCCCCCGGAGCCGCGGCGCGCACCCGUCCACGCCGAGCGCGCAGCCUGCUCGGUCCGCUCGGCCCCGGCGCUCUCGGGCCCGCCGCCGCCGGGCAGGUAGUAAGGACACAACUUCUGGCCUCAAGACUAACAUGAUGGAUGUCGGAGUGAGAAAAAGAAAAGUCAGGAAGGAUUUUUCACUCCACAUUUAAACUCCUUUGAGUCAAAAAAACAAGCAAAAGUGUGAUCUUUUCUCUAAUAAAGGUCUUUAUCAUAA